GUAUGGCAUUUCAGGCGCGUUGUUCUAGAGGCACUGGAUGCUGAUCUGUUGCUAGAAAUGCAUUUUGUGGACCAAAUUGCUGAAUCUAAUCCAAAAAAUUACCAUGUCUGGCAUCACAAGAGAUGGCUUGCUGAGAAAAUAAGACCAGAUGCUGUAAAUAGUGAACAUGACUUCACAAGGAAGAUACUUGCUAUGGAUGCUAAAAACUACCAUGCUUGGUCCCAUAGGCAGUGGGUUAUUCAAGCAUUGGGUGGAUGGGAGAGUGAACUGCAGUACUGCAACCAGCUUCUUGAGGAAGAUGUCUUCAAUAACUCAGCUUGGAAUCAGAGAUACCUUGUGGUAACACGAUCACCAAUUCUUGGGGGCCUUGCGGCAAUGCGCGACUCAGAAGUAGAUUACACAGUUGAGGCCAUUAUGGUGAACCCUCAGAAUGAAAGCCCCUGGAGAUACCUCAGAGGUUUAUAUAAGGAUGAUAACAAUUUGCUGGUGGCUGAUAAUCGCAUUUCUGAUGCUUGCCUCAAGGUCCUGAAUAAGGAUUGGACAUGCGUAUUUGCUUUGAGCUUCCUGCUUGAUCUUCUUCGCAUGGGUUUGCAGCCUUCGGAUGAACUUAAAGGAACCAUCGAAGCAAUGGAGAACUCUGAUCCUGAAACGGGACAUGCUGAUAUUGCAGUAGCUGUCUGCUCAAUCCUGCAGAAAUGUGAUCCCCUGCGGAUAAACUACUGGUCAUGGUACCAGACCACUCUUUCUUCUUAG
rnacentral:rRNA from 1 species